AGUCCAUGAUGUGGACAUUUUCGUAGCAAAUUUCUAAAUCUUUCUCAUGCCUGAUAUAAUGAUUCACCUUCUAAUUGACUAAAACUAGUAAUAUCCAUUCUUAACUU